rnacentral:rRNA from 1 species
CUGGUUGCUCGAGAAAAGAACAUAAAUUCUGCCUUAAACCUUAGACACCAUAAAAGUGUACUCCAGCUUUAAGAGUUAUUCAAAUGGGGUACAGCUCAUUUGAAACAGGAAACAACCUAACACCUAGGUAAAGAUUAUACUUUUUAAGGUCUUGACAAAGUUGGCCCAAAAGCAGCCACCUUUUAAGAAAGCGUCACAGCUCAAACAAACAACCACACUAAUACCUAUAACUUUUUCUGACCCUGCCAAACUAUCGAGCCCAUUUAUACUAGUAUAAAAAAGUUUAUGUUAGAACUAGUAACAAGAAACGAACUUCUCUUAAUGCAAGUGUACAUCAGAUUGAACCACUCACUGAUAACUACCGGCCCAUCACUAAGGGAAAUGUAAAAACCCUUCAAGAAAAUCCUACAUAACUAGCCGUUAAACUUACACAAGAGCAUCUAAAGAAAGAUUAAAAGGUGAGGAAGGAACUCGGCAAACAUGAACUUCGCCUGU